rnacentral:antisense_RNA from 1 species
CUUGAUGGACCCGAGCCAGAGCGGCCGCGGGCGGUCUUGGCCGUAGGUCGCCAGAAGCGCCUGGGCCUC